rnacentral:lncRNA from 1 species
GUCCUCCUAGGGAUUGGACAGUUGGCGCUUUUAAAGUCUACUUGUCAAUCCCAGAAGGCUGGCCUCCCAGUAACAUGCUUGGGGCAUUGGGCCAAGCACACUGCCUCCCACCCCCGUGGUAAUCUGGAGGUCUCAGGGAUACUGUUAGAAUUGUCUGCAGUGGAAGCUGCAGUUGGGAUCAGAGCUAGUCCCUCAAUAGAAUUGUCAUCGAUAGGGUGUCGCUAUCCACCCCUCACUGCUGCUUCGUGCUCCAUCCCUCAGACCUACAGGAGCAGUUUUUCUGCAGCACCACAUCUGUAGCCCUGCAUGCCGCUGGCUCCAGUGUUGUGUGUGUGGUCAUGCUCCAUCCAGCCCAGCAGCAACUUUGGUGUUUGACACCCCUCGGGAGGCACCGCUUUGGAAGAGACUGGUGUGUGCGGAGCCCAAGAUGUGUUGGGAACAGCUAUCGUUUCUACUGCUUUGUCCCAUGCCUCUGGAGCUCCUGGGUUCCUGAACUUCAAGCUGGGCCCCAUCCUUCACCCUAUCAGGGCCCUGGGUGGAGCUGACUUCCAACAGUAUACAGUGGGUCUUGGUACUUCCUCCUUGGCAUUCGACAGUUGGUGUUUUUGAAGUCAGAGCCAUCCUCAGUAGGCUCCUAGGGGAUCGUAAGCGGCUUUCUCUGGGUGGAAACCUACUCCAUGCAGCCUUCAGCAAAGGUACCAGCAUCUGUCACUGGGAUGGGGAAGUCCGGUGAUCGUGUCAGCAUGGGCUACGGUGGACGGGGAAAGGCUCGUUCUGACACUAGACACCUGGGUCUCUAGCCCUAUGCCUGGAUUUGUCUGGGGAACUCUGCACCACACUGAUCCUGGCUUUCCCCAUUACCUGCUCCAUGCCAGGAUCCUACGGCUGUUGAUCCCCUCGGAAGUGAGACAUAAUGUCCCGGAGCAGAUGCUGAUGGGGACUCACUGUUGGGCCACCUGAUUUCUGUGUUCAUCUUCCCAGGCUCCACCUUUCAGAUCCCAUCCCUGGUGUCUGCAGUUACAACUUUACUAACCAGAACUUUGUUUCCAGCUUACGCUGAAAAGCAAAGGGUGACUUAGAAUAAAAAUGUAACAAAUAGCCCCAUAGCCCAAACCUUUUCUGCCAUGAUUUACUGUACCAGAUACCUAUAAGUGUCCAGGGCAAAUUAAACACAUCAAUAAAUGGCUUUCUUG